rnacentral:rRNA from 1 species
AUUGAACGCUGGCGGCAGGCCUAACACAUGCAAGUCGAGCGGAGCGGCGGACGGGUGAGUAAUGCCUAGGAAUAUGCCUGGUAGUGGGGGAUAACGUCCGGAAACGGGCGCUAAUACCGCAUACUAUCAGAUGAGCCUAGGUGGGAUUAGCUCGUGGGUGGGGUAACGGCCUACCAAGGCGACGAUCCGUAACUGGUCUGAGAGGAUGAUCAGUCACACUGGAACUGAGACACGGGCCAUACUCCUACGGGAGGCAGCAGUGGGGAAUAUUGGACAAGGGUCGAAAGCCUGAUCCAGCCAUGCCGCGUGUGUGAAGAAGGUCUUCGGAUUGUAAAGCACUUUAAGUUGGGAGGCGUUACCAACAGAAUAAGCACCGGCUAACUUCGUGCCAGCAGCCGCGGUAAUUC